rnacentral:lncRNA from 1 species
AUUUUGUAACAUUUCUUGUCCACAGGCUUUGAAAUGCUCAUAAAUACACCUCAGUAAUGUGAGUAACACCAUUUUACAGGUGCAGAAGUAAAAGCAGAGAAGUCAAUUCCUGCAUGCCACCUGCAAAUUAAUCACAGAACAGAGUUGGAUCCAGAUUUCUAGAUGUUGCCUUUUUCACUGUUCCUCUAAACUUUGUCCAUGGCAGAACGCAUAUGUAUUGGCGUAAAUGAACAUACUUAAGACAAGAUGGUUGAUACUAUUAAAAGUCCAAGUCACUUCUGUGGAGGAACAGCUGCUGAAGAGAAAAUUUCAAGCUAAAGCCCUGCCUUUUUCUGCAAAGUGGUGAAUCUUAUUCAGCCAGGUAUGAG